UACGAAGGGGGCUAGCGUUGCUCGGAAUCACUGGGCGUAAAGCGCACGUAGGCGGACUCUUAAGUCGGGUGGUGAAAUCCUGGAGCUCAACUCCAGAACUGCCUUCGAUACUGAGAGUCUUGAGUCCGGGAGAGGUGAGUGGAACUGCGAGUGUAGAGGUGAAAUUCGUAGAUAUUCGCAAGAACACCAGUGGCGAAGGCGGCUCACUGGCCCCGGUACUGACGCUGAGGUGCGAAAGCGUGGGGAGCAAACA
rnacentral:rRNA from 1 species